UGUAUUGGGGCAGCCCUCCCAGUUCCUGCCUGUUGACUUGUUCCUUCCUUAUCAAUCUCACAUGUCAGGUUGCCUUGCUAAGUGCUGCAAAGCUGCUGUUGGCCUUGGGCUGCAGAGGGCUGUGCAGAAAGUGCCUUUACCCAGCUGCAUCAGCCUAAGGAGCAUCCCCAGAGCAUCACUGGAGAAAGCAUUGUGAAAUGGGUGUUUUCUUGUCAUGGGGAGAUACCCAGCCCUGUGUGAGCUGUACUCCAUUCCAUCAGAACAAAGAUAAGCAGGAGAUCUGGUUUGCACAAUCACACCUAUGGAGAAGCACGCAGAGGUUGGGAGAUGGUUAUCACCGACCACGUGUCAACAUCUUCAAAACUCAUCUCGAUCGGUUUCUCUGUGCUUCGCAGUUGCUAAUUGCUUUCACCCCGCACGCGUGGCCCGAUGCACUCUCUGAGUUACUGAACCUGAGGACCUGCUACAGAUGGGAAAGCUGAGGUGCAGAGGGUUUAAGGGCCUCAUUCUUCUUUUGUGACCUACAGCCUCAACGAGAGUUUUUACAGAAAUGGAACACCACGGAACAGCAAAUUUGGGACCCCUGUCACUUGACAAAAGAAAUGUUUGGCUCAGAAUGCUAUUUUUCUUAAAUGUAUCUUUCAGCCACUGUCAUUAAAAUUGUUGAAUAGCUUUAGGAACCUGUUUUGUCAACUACCUUGGGGACAAGUAUGAAAUACUGGGCUGUUAAACGUGCGCCACAGAAAAUGAACUGCGCCGUGCAUGAGCCGCGGGAGGAGCACACCUCGGCUCCUCGUGGACCCUCCCCACUGCUGCAGCAGCUUUAAUUAGCUGGGAUUAGGUAUUCCCAACUCAGGGAGAUGCUCUUCAUAAAUAUUUGUUUGCACUUAAAAGCAGAUUUCUGCAAAGGUUCUGGUGCUGGCAGUUUCCCUGCAGGAGCCAAAGUGGGGAUGCAAUGCCCAGAGGUGCACGAUGUGCGCAGCCCAUGUUGUGCACUGAGGACACUUCAUCAGCCAAGUUUUGGGUUAUUUCUUCAAGUAGGGCAUUGGUGGGGCUGAUUCUUACAUUUUUAGAUAUAUUUAGUAUGUAAAAAAAUGUGUACACCACUGUGCAUUAAACUGAACUGCACAAAUGAAUUUUGUGCCUGAGAGCAAGAAUAUUCAUUGUAUACAUUAAUGCUUCCUCAUUUCUAAUUAUUUAUUUCUAAAUAUGGGUGAAGCUGCCUGUCUCUGGAGGGGGGUAUUGCAAUUGUGUGAGGUUAUGUUUGGAUGGAUAGAAGUGUUUUACUCCCACAAUAUUCCUUUUUAAAUAAAUAUGUAGUGAUAAGCCA
rnacentral:lncRNA from 1 species